AGGCGGGUAGCGGCAAGGCCACCAAGGUUGUGAAGUGUUGGAGUGUCCCGGCGGGAGCCGCAGGCGCCGCAGGACGGGCGGAGACUGCCCGGGACCGCAGCUGCCCGCGCGCGGACGCGUCUGCGACGGCUCGCCUUGGUCGAGUGGGAAGAGACUCCGCGCCGCGGGCUACUUAAUAGAGGGCUGUUCCCGGCUCUCAGUUUACUCGGUUACGAAACGCCUGAGAAGGUGGACGGCUGCCACGGGGUGAUGUAUGCUCCUCCGGCGGUGAAGGAGGUCUACUUUUGGGAACGUGUGCAUACUUCCAGCAUUCCUUCGGCGUGAGGUUAUACCCUGGGCUCACCCUUCCUCACUCUAUCAUAUGCUCGCCCACCUCUUCUCCCUUCGACUCCUGGGCUCCCGGAGGUUCCAGGGCUUCAGAUUCCUUGUCCGACAGCGCGAUCUAGCGGUGAGCACGAGCACUGGCGUCGGAGGUCAAAGUUCCAGAAUGGAGAGCCAGAAGUUGAGUUGCAGAACCCUGUGCAUGAAGUCAAAAUACAUUUGAUGAUCACCUUCCAUGUGUCCGCACAGUGACAAGCUCAGAGCCGUGGAUACAAAGACAAUUCAGAUGAGGUCUUGCCUUCAAAACUCUGUCAAGGAACACCCAGGGCAUUUCACUGGCCCACUUACAUCUCUUGAGAGAUUAUGGCUUCAAAAUGUUUUAAAAUUAAAAAUGAGAAGCAGUAAGCAACUACCCUGUCUGUACUAGCAAAGCUAAAGAAUCCAGGGACUGAAGCCAUCCCUACAGGAAGGGAGAGGGGAUGUAUUAUGUUCCUGCCUCCUUGACUUCUUCAUAAAGAACUAUUCCAGAGAGGUCUCCAGGCUUGUGCGCACCUCAUCCAGACCUCUCACUUGCCCUGAAACGAUCUCUCCCUUUCGGCGUGUGAGCAGCUGUGGAGCAGAAAACAGUAAUUGCAUCACAUUUAUCCUCCCACCCAAGGUGGCAAGUUCAACUUCAUGUGACCUCAAAAAGUGUGGUUGCCUGGAAGGCUAUGAAGCUUAAAACAAAAAAUUUGCAUCCAAAUACACUAUCUUCCUAGGAUGAACCAUUCAGAUUUGAUAAAAGUCAAAUGCUGACGGGAGUCGAUUAUUCAGUUAGCUCUGACCUCCUUGAGCAACUAUGAAAGAUAAAAGGAAACACAUUCACUUAAGAGUUAAGAAAGCAGCCCUUUGUGACUUCAUUUCUAUAAGAUUCAAUACUGUUUCAGUCAUCCUUACCACCCUGGGACUCAGAAUCUAUUUAUUUGGUAACUAUCAAAGUAGGAAGGAGCAGGUCCAGAAUUCCUAAUCAGAACACCGCUCUGUGUGUGGACACUUGGUAAGUGUAUACUGACAUAAAUUUGCAGGUUGCUGGAAAAUGUGAAAAAUCAUUAGGAACUCAUUUUUCAGGAUUUGGUCAUGGCCUUCAAACUGAUUACGUAGUACACUGAAAUGCAGUAGUGAUGAAAUCAUAGUCAAAAGAGGUUUUAUUGGUCCCAGUUGGAGCUCCUGUGUAGGAUAAGUGUAACCAGACCAAGGUUUCAUUUGAUAAACCAUUUUUAUACACUUACUACUUCAUUCAGCUACAUUUAAGAAGCACAGAUACCCAGGUAUUCAAGGCAGACAGAAUUCCAGACUUUGAAAUGUUCCUAAAUCCAAUAUGGAGUGGAAUGCACCCUCUGGUGGAAAAGAGGGAAAGGAUGGCCAUUAUCUGAGUAGACUCCUUUCAUCGUUUUGAUCUGGAUCAUUCAUUCAGCAAACAUUCAUGAUGUUCACUAGAAACUGUGAGGAAUUUUUUUUAAAAAGCAAAUCAAAAGAGGUCCUGUCCACAAAAAGCAUAAAUGUAGUAACAAAGACCAAAGUCAAAAGACUCAAGAGAAGUCUGGAGACAGUGUAUAAUUGGAAACUGACAGACCAGUAUAAAAAAUAAUUGGGGGGGGGGGGGAAUCAUGAUAUACAGAAACAAGACAAAAGACAUUGCAGGAAGCAAUCAAUUCAACCCACGAUUCAGAACAUUCUGCAUAAAAAAAGCAAUUUCUCCACAAACCGGUUUCUCCAUAAAUCAGUCUCUCCAAAACCCCAUGACAAGAAAAAAGGGGGGAAAGAGUAGAUUGUUAUGAAAAAAUAUUUAAGAGCCAUAGCAACCAAAUAAUAACAAUAACAAUAAUAGUCGUCAAGAACUAUUUUAGGAUCUGAAAUUGUAUCCUACUUGCAAGCUAACAAGUUAACAUACUACAGAUUCACAGGAUGCUGGCAGAACACACGAGGAACCAGAGACAAAGGACUGUGUUACUGACAGCAAUAGCAGUAGCCAGAGUAUCAUUAUUUGCCCUGGUUCUCCAGGCCCCAGUUCCCACGGGGUAAUGCGAAGAAGGCCCAGUGACCCUUACAAACACAGUGGGUUGCACUGAGGGAACUGAACUGAGCUUGGGGAACCCAUGUCUUUUCUAAGGGCAGUCAGCCUGCCUGACUUUUGCCCUGAAAGGAGGCAUUAUCUUUGUUACACUAGACAGUAAACAAACUUGCCCUUUGCUCUGGAGGGAGAAAUUACCUUUGGUUCUUAGGCUGCUAGUAUACAAACUCCCUGGAAACAAUCCUCUAAAAUAAAAGCAUUCGGUGCCUCUGCAGAAACAGGAGAGAUCCACUGGAGAGGUGUCUCCCAACAAUAAGAAUUGUUGCAAGUUUGUGCAAGGAAGAAAGCAGUGUAUGCUGAAGUGGUCCCUAAAGAAUUUCUGGAGGAGGAAGAUUUUAAAGGACUAGCAGUUAACAUUCCAAGCACAAGAUUCAAAAUGAGAAGUUGAAAAAAAUAGCAAAGAGACAAGAAAUGUCCUGGGCAAUAAAUAAAGCAGAGUUGUUUCAGCAGAAACUUUGUGAACACGAUGGAAUAGUAUUGGAGUUUGGAAGUAGCUGAGAUUCUGGAAUUUAAUCCUUUAAAUAUAAUCAUUACUGAGCAAAUAAUUGACAGGGCGUAUCCCAGUCAUUGCGCAAAGCAUUUUACAUACAUCAGUCCAUGACAUUUAAUUCUUAUCUCUAUGCUAGAGAGAAGGAAUUGAGGCUCAGAGACGUCAGGUGAUUUACCUGUUAAUUUUGGAACCCAGAUCUGAGCUCAGCUUUCUGAUAUCUAAGCUCAUGGUCUUUCUGGUAUAUUAAAACCACAGAAGAAUGAUAAAAAUCUUGUUGCAAAAAGCCUAAUCUGACAAUCAGACUCAUAGUAACUUGCUAGGAAGACAGCCUAC